rnacentral:rRNA from 1 species
GUAGGUGGCAAGCGUUGUCCGGAAUUAUUGGGCGUAAAGCGCGCGCAGGCGGGUUCUUUAAGUCUGAUGUGAAAGCCCACGGGCUCAACCGUGGAGGGUCAUUGGAAACUGGAGAACUUGAGUACAGAAGAGGAAAGCGGAAUUCCACGUGUAGCGGUGAAAUGCGUAGAGAUGUGGAGGAACACCAGUGGCGAAGGCGGCUUUCUGGUCUGUAACUGACGCUGAGGCGCGAAAGCGUGGGGAGCAAACAGGAUUAGAUACCCUGGUAGUCCACGCCGUAAACGAUGAGUGCUAAGUGUUAGGGGGUUUCCGCCCCUUAGUGCUGCAGCUAACGCAUUAAGCACUCCGCCCGGGGAGUACGGCCGCAAGGCUG